CUAGCCAAGUCAGGUCCAAGGCACUGGGUUUUGAUCCCAGCAUUCACAGGUUCGAAUCCUGUGGUAG
rnacentral:tRNA from 1 species